CCUACGGGUGGCAGCAGUGGGGAAUAUUGGGCAAUGGGCGCAAGCCUGACCCAGCAACGCCGCGUGCAGGAAGAAGGCUUUCGGGUUGUAAACUUCUUUUCUCAGGGACGAAGCAAGUGACGGUACCUGCGGAAUAAGCCACGGCUAACUACGUGCCAGCAGCCGCGUGAAUACGUAGGUGGCAAGCGUUAUCCGGAUUUACUGGGUGUAAAGGGCGUGUAGGCGGGACUGGAAGUCAGAUGUGAAAACCACGGGCUCAACCUGUGGCCUGCAUUUGAAACUGGAGUUCUUGAGUACUGGAGAGGCAGGCGGAAUUCCUGGUGUAGCGGUGAAAUGCGUAGAUAUUAGGAGGAACACCAGUGGCGAAGGCGGUCUGCUGGACAGCAACUGACGCUGAGGCGCGAAAGCGUGGGGAGCAAACAGGAUUAGAUACCCCUGUAGUC
rnacentral:rRNA from 1 species